rnacentral:rRNA from 1 species
GGACGGGUGAGUAAUGCCUAGGAAUCUGCCCAUUAGCGGGGGACAACGUGUGGAAACGCACGCUAAUACCGCAUACGCCCUACGGGGGAAAGCAGGGGAUCUUCGGACCUUGCGCUAAUAGAUGAGCCUAAGUCGGAUUAGCUAGUUGGUGGGGUAAAGGCCUACCAAGGCGACGAUCUGUAGCGGGUCUGAGAGGAUGAUCCGCCACACUGGGACUGAGACACGGCCCAGACUCCUACGGGAGGCAGCA